rnacentral:lncRNA from 1 species
GUCUCUGGCUCAUGCAUCCGCAUCGAAUGACCCGAUUCCAUAUUGGGAUGUUGGUGGAAAAUAACUUAUGACUGUGCUUCUUCAUUGGUUGAGAAUGCUUGUAAUUCUAAUAAGAAAAUUUGUCAAUUAGAGAGGUCAUAUUUUUAUGCUCGAAGAUAAUUAAAACCAUCACGUAUGGAAUGAAAAGAUCUUACCAUGUGACAAUAUGAUUCAUGGUCCAACAUCUAAAUAGACUUGAUAGCUACAGUGCUCUUGGGAUGGAAUAAUAUACUAGUUCA